rnacentral:rRNA from 1 species
GACGAACCGUGCGAACGUUGUUCGGAUUCACUGGGCUUAAAGGGCGCGUAGGCGGCUUGCCAAGUCAGGGGUGAAAUCUUUCGGCUCAACCGGAAAACGGCCCCUGAUACUGGCGGGCUUGAGGGAGGUAGGGGCGGAUGGAACUUCCGGUGGAGCGGUGAAAUGCGUAGAUAUCGGAAGGAACGCCGGUGGCGAAAGCGAUCCGCUGGACCUCCUCUGACGCUGAGGCGCGAAAGCCAGGGGAGCAAACGGG